CCUAAAGAAAAUGCAGAAAGCUAUGUUAGUUAUCAAAAGAAAAAUUUAAGUAAUAAACAUUAACUGUAAUUAAGAUUAAUCAGAAAUUAUCCAGUUGAGGAUAUAUUUUUUUCCUCCAGUAAAAUUUAUAUGAUUAGACCAUUUGGUUUAUAUCUAUUGAUGUGUAGCACAGGGACUGUACAAUCAUUUUUCUGUAUACACGGAUUCAACCAUCCAAUGCUCAAAAAUAUUUUUGAAAUAUUAAAAAAAGAAAAGCUCGACUUUGCCAUUUUUAUAUAAGGGAUACCAUUUUAUCAAGCUCAGAAAAUGCUGAAAAAAUGAAAACAAUUAAAAUUAGAAGUCACUGGAAGUCCACUUCACAUUUUAUUUUAUUUUAUUUCAAAUAAUGGAUGUCCUCUAUAUUUAUCCAACUCACACAGGUGUUUUUCCAGGUCCAGAAGUGGGUGAGCAGCAAGUAAGUAAUAAAUACAUCUUUUACAGGAGAAAGGAAAGUCUGGUGGGAGGUGACGUACAAAUGCUCUGGGGGCACCUUUGGGCUGCAAGAAUGCCCUUGGGCCAUUUCCUAGCCUUUCCUGAUUUAAAAAGUAGUAAAAUGAGAAAAAAUAAGGACAGAAAGAAACUAUGAACAAUUUUGUUAAAAUGUUAGCAAAUCCAUUGCUUUCCUGAAAUAAUAGGCGAAUGGGAUUGUGAUGGUGUUUCAAGUAUGUGAAAUCCUUCCUUUCUGAUUUUGUAGUUUCUAGUAUGUGAGGAGGCCUUUCCUUUCUGUUUCUGUAGUGUAUAACGGAAGAAUUUGCCAUUGUUCUCCUCAUCACAUUUGCUCAAAUUAUGUGAUAGGAUGGAAAGCUGUGAAUAUUCUAAAUAAUGAAUUGGAGAGACUACAGAAAAUGGAAAUUAAUCAUAUAAUGGAAAUGAAUAGCAGCAGAGCAAUACCUUCAGGCAAUCAAGAGAUACUGUGCCAAUAUUACUGUUGAAUUAACUAUCUGUUUUAUGUACUAUAUAUACUCAUGACUCUAAAAAUCUCAGACAAUUUAUUCACAGUUCACUUUAAAUGUGCUCCCAGCCAUUUUGGGUGCUUGAGAUGGAAAGGAGAGGUUCCAGCCAUGUUUAAUAGGGGCUUACUAUAAAGCCUUGCAAGGCUGGCAACCACUUUAAAUAGGGGCUUACUGUAUAAGCUCUCACAUUGCUGCUGUAUGCCACUUGGGAUGAAUGCUCUCAAUUUACACAUGAAGUCGGUUUAUACAAGGGUAUAUAUAUGGUAUAUAUGGUAUCUUUUCUUACUAGGAAUGAAAUAUUUCCUGUUACUUACAACUAAUAUUAAUAUACAGUAUGUCAUUUUUAUCAUGCGUGACUAUUGAUGUGGGAUAAAGUGGUUCUUUAUCUUAGUCCAUAUUUAAAGCUUUUUUGUUUUCUGCCAAUGUUUGCAUCUUUCUCUUUUUCUAACCUUACCCAUUCCCUCUGGUAUUUUGCACUACAACUCCCAGAACUUCCCAGUCAGAAAAUUCUGGGAGCUGUAAUGCAAAAUGAUAUAUUUGUAACUUCUUGAUCAAAAUUUACAUGUACUAACAUUUUAAAACGAUUUGGAGAAUGAUAUGGCAAUACAGCUCCAAGCCCUCUCUCAGGCCGUCCUGUCUCCCUGAAAGAAUCAAAGA